rnacentral:rRNA from 1 species
GACCUGGCUGGGUGGUCUUGCCGAAAGGUAAGCACUGCUCCGGUCGGGUCUUUCCUUCUGGGGAACCAGUGUGCUCUUAAUUGGGUGCGCUGGGGAUCCAGGACUUUUACCUUGAGAAAAUUAGAGUGUUCAAAGCAGGCCUUUGCCCGAAUACAUUAGCAUGGCAUAAUAAAAUAGGAC